rnacentral:rRNA from 1 species
CCUACGGGUGGCAGCAGUGGGGAAUAUUGCACAAUGGGGGAAACCCUGAUGCAGCGACGCCGCGUGAAGGAAGAAGUAUUUCGGUAUGUAAACUUCUAUCAGCAGGGAAGAAAAUGACGGUACCUGACUAAGAAGCCCCGGCUAACUACGUGCCAGCAGCCGCGGUAAUACGUAGGGGGCAAGCGUUAUCCGGAUUUACUGGGUGUAAAGGGCGUGCAGCCGGAGAGACAAGUCAGAUGUGAAAUCCACGGGCUCAACCCGUGAACUGCAUUUGAAACUGUUUUUCUUGAGUACUGGAGAGGCAGACGGAAUUCCUUGUGUAGCGGUGAAAUGCGUAGAUAUAAGGAGGAACACCAGUGGCGAAGGCGGUCUGCUGGACAGCAACUGACGGUGAGGCGCGAAAGCGUGGGGAGCAAACAGGAUUAGAUACCCCGGUAGUC